AUUGAACGCUAGCGGGAUGCUUUACACAUGCAAGUCGAACGGCAGCGCGGACUUCGGUCUGGCGGCGAGUGGAGAACGGGUGAGUAAUGUAUCGGAACGUGCCCAGGAGCGGGGGAUAACUACGCGAAAGCGGAGCUAAUACCGCAUACGCCCUACGGGGGAAAGCAGUGGUCGUAAGACCUUGCACUAUGGGGGCGGCCGAUUUCGGAUUAGCUAGGUGGUGAGGGAACGGCUCACCAAGGCGACGAUCCGUAGCCGGUUUGAGAGGACGACCAGCCACACUGGGACUGAGACACGGCCCAGACUCCUACGGGAGGCAGCAGUGGGGAACUUUGGGCAAUGGGCGCAAGCCUGAUCCAGCCAUCCCGCGUGUGCGAUGAAGGCCUUCGGGUCGUAAAGCACUUUUGGCAGGGAAGAAACGUCGCGGGCUAAUACCCCGUGGAACUGACGGUACCUGCAGAAUAAGCACCGGCUAACUACGUG
rnacentral:rRNA from 1 species